rnacentral:rRNA from 1 species
CGGCGUCUAAUACUGGAUAUGUGACGUGACCGCAUGGUCUGCGUCUGGAAAGAAUUUCGGUUGGGGAUGGGCUCGCGGCCUAUCAGCUUGUUGGUGAGGUAAUGGCUCACCAAGGCGUCGACGGGUAGCCGGCCUGAGAGGGUGACCGGCCACACUGGGACUGAGACACGGCCCAGACUCCUACGGGAGGCAGCAGUGGGGAAUAUUGCACAAUGGGCGCAAGCCUGAUGCAGCAACGCCGCGUGAGGGACGACGGCCUUCGGGUUGUAAACCUCUUUUAGCAGGGAAGAAGCGAAAGUGACGGUACCUGCAGAAAAAGCGCCGGCUAACUACGUGCCAGCAGCCGCGGUAAUACGUAGGGCGCAAGCGUUAUCCGGAAUUAUUGGGCGUAAAGAGCUCGUAGGCGGUUUGUCGCGUCUGCUGUGAAAUCCGGAGGCUCAACCUCCGGCCUGCAGUGGGUACGGGCAGACUAGAGUGCGGUAGGGGAGAUUGGAAUUCCUGGUGUAGCGGUGGAAUGCGCAGAUAUCAGGAGGAACACCGAUGGCGAAGGCAGAUCUCUGGGCCGUAACUGACGCUGAGGAGCGAAAGGGUGGGGAGCAAACAGGCUUAGAUACCCUGGUAGUCCACCCCGUAAACGUUGGGAACUAGUUGUGGGGUCCAUUCCACGGAUUCCGUGACGCAGCUAACGCAUUAAGUUCCCCGCCUGGGGAGUACGGCCGCAAGGCUAAAACUCAAAGGAAUUGACGGGGACCCGCACAAGCGGCGGAGCAUGCGGAUUAAUUCGAUGCAACGCGAAGAACCUUACCAAGGCUUGACAUAUACGAGAACGGGCCAGAAAUGGUCAACUCUUUGGACACUCGUAAACAGGUGGUGCAUGGUUGUCGUCAGCUCGUGUCGUGAGAUGUUGGGUUAAGUCCCGCAACGAGCGCAACCCUCGUUCUAUGUUGCCAGCACGUAAUGGUGGGAACUCAUGGGAUACUGCCGGGGUCAACUCGGAGGAAGGUGGGGAUGACGUCAAAUCAUCAUGCCCCUUAUGUCUUGGGCUUCACGCAUGCUACAAUGGCCGGUACAAAGGGCUGCAAUACCGCGAGGUGGAGCGAAUCCCAAAAAGCCGGUCCCAGUUCGGAUUGAGGUCUGCAACUCGACCUCAUGAAGUCGGAGUCGCUAGUAAUCGCAGAUCAGCAACGCUGCGG